rnacentral:rRNA from 1 species
AGAGUUUGAUCCUGGCUCAGGACGAACGCUGGCGGCGUGCCUAACACAUGCAAGUCGAGCGAAGAACUUAUCAUGAAACCUUCGGGUAGAUUGAUAAACUUCUUAGCGGCGGAUGGGUGAGUAACGCGUGAGGAACCUGCCUUCCACAAGGGGAUAGCCUCGGGAAACCGGGAUUAAUACCCUAUGACACUUAAGAAUCGCAUGAAUUUUAAGUUAAAGCGUUAGCGGUGGAAGAUGGCCUCGCGUCCCAUUAGCUAGUUGGUGAGGUAAAGGCUCACCAAGGCUACGAUGGGUAGCCGGCUUGAGAGAGUGAACGGCCACACUGGAACUGAGACACGGUCCAGACUCCUACGGGAGGCAGCAGUGGGGAAUAUUGCACAAUGGAGGGAACUCUGAUGCAGCGACGCCGCGUGAGCGAAGAAGGCCUUCGGGUCGUAAAGCUCUGUCCUAUGGGACGAUAAUGACGGUACCAUAGGAGGAAGCCCCGGCUAACUACGUGCCAGCAGCCGCGGUAAUACGUAGGGGGCGAGCGUUGUCCGGAAUUACUGGGCGUAAAGGGUACGCAGGCGGCCAUGUAAGUCAGAUGUGAAAGGCGUAGGCUUAACCUAUGUAAGCAUUUGAAACUGUGUGGCUUGAGUUAAGGAGAGGAAAGUGGAAUUCCUGGUGUAGCGGUGAAAUGCGUAGAUAUCAGGAGGAAUACCAGUGGCGAAGGCGACUUUCUGGACUUAAACUGACGCUGAGGUACGAAAGCGUGGGGAGCAAACAGGAUUAGAUACCCUGGUAGUCCACGCCGUAAACGAUGAGUGCUAGGUGUCGGAGGGUAACCUUCGGUGCCGCAGUUAACACAUUAAGCACUCCGCCUG